UACGGAGGGUGCGAGCGUUGCCCGGAAUCACUGGGCGUAAAGGGCGCGUAGGUGGCGCGGGAAGUCAACGGUGAAAGUUCAGGGCUCAACCCUGAAUCGGCCGUCGAUACUCCCGGGCUUGAGCACUGUAGAGGCAGGUGGAAUUCCGGGUGUAGCGGUGGAAUGCGUAGAGAUCCGGAAGAACACCGGUGGCGAAGGCGGCCUGCUGGGCAGUUGCUGACACUGAUGCGCGACAGCGUGGGGAGCAAACAGG
rnacentral:rRNA from 1 species